UCGAACGCGAAAGCCCCGCAAGGGGUAAGUAGAGUGGCAAACGGGUGAGUAACACGUGGGUGACCUGCCUUCGAGUGGGGGAUAACGUCCCGAAAGGGACGCUAAUACCGCAUGACAUCCUGCCUUUGAAUAGGCGGAGAUCAAAGCUGGGGAUCGCAAGACCUAGCGCUCAAAGAGGGGCCCGCGCCUGAUUAGCUAGUUGGUGGGGUAAUGGCUCACCAAGGCAACGAUCAGUAUCCGGCCUGAGAGGGCGGACGGACACACUGGGACUGAGACACGGCCCAGACUCCUACGGGAGGCAGCGGUGGGGAAUUGUUCGCAAUGGGCGCAAGCCUGACGACGCAACGCCGCGUGGAGGAUGAAGAUCUUCGGGUCGUAAACUCCUUUCGAUCGAGACGAACGACUUCUGGGUGAAUAAUCCGGAAGAGUGACGGUACCGAGAGAAGAAGCCCCGGCUAACUCCGUGCCAGCAGCCGCGGUAAUACGGGGGGGGCAAGCGUUGUUCGGAAUUACUGGGCGUAAAGGGCUCGUAGGCGGCCAACUAAGUCAGACGUGAAAUCCCUCGGCUUAACCGGGGAACUGCGUCUGAUACUGGAUGGCUUGAGUGUGGGAGAGGGAUGCGGAAUUCCAGGUGUAGCGGUGAAAUGCGUAGAUAUCUGGAGGAACACCGGUGGCGAAGGCGGCAUCCUGGACCACGACUGACGCUGAUGAGCGAAAGCCAGGGGAGCAAACGGGAUUAGAUACCCCGGUAGUCCUGGCCUAAACGAUGAAUGCUUUGGUGUGGC
rnacentral:rRNA from 1 species